rnacentral:rRNA from 1 species
UACGUAGGGUGCAAGCGUUGUCCGGAAUUAUUGGGCGUAAAGAGCUCGUAGGCGGUCUGUUACGUCGGCUGUGAAAACCUGGGGCUCAACCCCGGGCCUGCAGCCGAUACGGGCAGACUAGAAUUCGGUAGGGGAGACCGGAAUUCCUGGUGUAGCGGUGGAAUGCGCAGAUAUCAGGAGGAACACCGGUGGCGAAGGCGGGUCUCUGGGCCGAUAUUGACGCUGAGGAGCGAAAGCGUGGGGAGCGAACAGG